rnacentral:rRNA from 1 species
CUACGGGAGGCUCUAGUGAGGAAUAUUGCACAAUGGGGGAACCCUGAUGCAGCAACGCCGCGUGGAGGAUGACGCAUUUCGGUGUGUAAACUCCUUUUAUAUGUCAAGAAAAUGACGGUAGCAUAUGAAUAAGCACCGGCUAACUCCAUGCCAGCAGCCGCGGUAAUACGGAGGGUGCAAGCGUUACUCGGAAUCACUGGGCGUAAAGGACGCGUAGGCGGGUUGGAAAGUCAGGUGUGAAAUCCUACAGCUUAACUGUAGAACUGCACUUGAAACUUCUAAUCUAGAGUAUGGGAGGGGGAGAUGGAAUUAGUGGUGUAGGGGUAAAAUCCGUAGAUAUCACUAGGAAUACCUAAAGCGAAGGCGAUCUCCUGGAACAUUACUGACGCUAAGGCGUGAAAGCGUGGGGAGCAAACAGGAUUAGAUACCCGUGUAGUC